ensembl:lncRNA
CAGACCUUUAGCUUGACAGGGAGGUGGGGACCAUGCAGAUGUGUCCUGGAGAUGAAAUGAAAUAUCAUAGUAUCACAGCUCUAUCAAUGGCCUCAAACAGGAGCUUGCGGAUUCCAUCAUGUACUCCGUCAGAGGACACCCUUUAAUGGCAGAAUGAAAGCGAGGAGUGCAUCUCUCCUGCCGAUUAUCUCCAUCUCUCCAACUGUGCCAAAGUCACUGUGUAGAUUUGUGUUCUUUUGUGAGAUUAACAAAACAUUGUUUAACGUAAUCACAUGCAGCUCAAAGUGGUCAUUGGGCCUGUGAAUAUACAUAGAAAUAAUUUUAAAUAUUUAUAUUUUUGUAUUUAAUUUCUGAAAUGUAUUUAAAUUAAAGCUGUAUGAUAUCUGUAUGAUUUCCUUUCUUCCACAGACCAUAAAAUGAGAUGUGUAGCAAGACUUUCAAGCUGUCUUUAUACUAUGAAAGUGAACAGUAAGC